rnacentral:lncRNA from 1 species
UAAGACUUCGUCUACAAAAUCAAUUUAUACACACAAGUCAAUCUGCUGCAACUCUCGUCAUUGUCUUCACUCAAACACAACAACCCACUGCCAAAGUUCCACAGCCCACCAACAAACCUCCACCCUUUUCUAUUAUGCACAGUCGCUUUCUUCAUCCAUUACUGAUACAUUACCCAAUCACCUAAGUCUCAUAUUUCUCUACACAACCGACACCCGACGUAGCCAUGCCCUCUGCUCCCACUACUAAAAUCAAAGGCAACAUUUACUACAAGCCAUCCCCAAAAAAAAAAAUUAAUAAAUAAAAUAAAAAUAAAAAUUAAAUAAAAAAAUAAAAAUCCAAAAUUGCCUUUUGCUUCUGCCAACGAAGUGACAAACGGUCACCACCACCAUAUCAUCAUCCCAUACCUGUUAACCAGCAAAUCUCAAUACCCACCAAAACACUAACGUAGAAGCCACUAAUCAUUUUUACCUCUUACCCAUAUAGUCAAAACGUAGCCCACCAUAAUCUGCAAAUCACCGACUCUAGACCCUCGAGUUCAAUCUUCUCUUAUUUGCUGGUAGAAGAAAGCUGAACCCUUGGGAACGAAACUGACAGCCCAUCUAUAAAUACCACUCCAGUUCACUUGAACGAAUUCUCUUUGGACCUCUAUUUUCAUUAUCUUCCUCUGGUUUGUGUUGGGCCUCAAUUUGUGGCCUUAUUCUUUAUAUAAGAGUUAAUUGAUUUUGUUGCUUUUGCUUCACACAGAGAGAGAGAGAGAGAGAGUAAAAGAAAAAAAAAACUGAAAAAGGAUAGAGAGAAAAAAAAAAAAAAAAAAAAAAAAAAAAUUUUUACUCCAUUUCAAUUGAACGACUUCUCUUUGGACCUCUAUUUUCAUUAUCUGCCUCUGGUUUGUGUUCGGCCUCAAUUUGUUGCCUUAUUCUUUAUAUGAGAGUUAAUUGGUUUUGUUGCUUUUGCUUCACAGAGAGAGAGAGAGGAAAAGAAAAAACGGUGAAAAAAGGAUAUAGGGAAAAAAAAAAAGAAUAGAAAUUUCUAUCAUUAUUCAUAGGUGAUCUUUUUAUCAUGUUGAUUGACA